UGGGGAAUAUUGGACAAUGGGCGCAAGCCUGAUCCAGCCAUACCGCGUGGGUGAAGAAGGCCUUCGGGUUGUAAAGCCCUUUUGUUGGGAAAGAAAAGCAGCCGGUUAAUACCCGGUUGUUCUGACGGUACCCAAAGAAUAAGCACCGGCUAACUUCGUGCCAGCAGCCGCGGUAAUACGAAGGGUGCAAGCGUUACUCGGAAUUACUGGGCGUAAAGCGUGCGUAGGUGGUUGUUUAAGUCUGUCGUGAAAGCCCUGGGCUCAACCUGGGAAUUGCGAUGGAAACUGGGCGACUAGAGUGUGGCAAGGGAUAGUGGAAUUCCUGGUGUAGCAGUGAAAUGCGUAGAGAUCAGGAGGAACAUCCGUGGCGAAGGCGACUGUCUGGGCCAACACUGACACUGAGGCACGAAAGCGUGGGGAGCAAACAGGAUUAGAUACCCUGGUAGUCCACGCCCUAAACGAUGCGAACUGGAUGUUGGGUGCAAUUUUGGCACGCAGUAUCGAAGCUAACGCGUUAAGUU
rnacentral:rRNA from 1 species